UACGUAGGGGGCAAGCGUUGUCCGGAAUCAUUGGGCGUAAAGAGCGUGUAGGCGGCCAGAUAAGUCCGCUGUGAAAUCUCGAGGCUCAACUUCGAGCUGUCGGUGGAAACUGUCUGGCUAGAGUCCGGAAGAGGAGAAUGGAAUUCCUGGUGUAGCGGUGAAAUGCGCAGAUAUCAGGAAGAACACCAGUGGCGAAAGCGGCUUCCUGGUCCAGCACCGACGUUCAGGCACGAAAGCGUGGGGAGCAAACAGG
rnacentral:rRNA from 1 species